rnacentral:ncRNA from 1 species
UGUCUCAACCAUAGGCCCGGUGAAAUUGCACUACGAGUAAAGAUGCUCGUUUCGCGCAGCAGGACGGAAAGACCCCGGGACCUUUACUACAGUUUGAUAUUGGUGUUCGGUUCGGCUUGUGUAGGAUAGCUGGGAGACUGUGAAGCGCUAACGCCAGUUAGUGUGGAGUCGUCGUUGAAAUACCAGUCUGGUCGUGCUGGAUGUCUAACCUGGGUCCUGAUCCGGAUCAGGGACAGUGUCUGAUGGGUAUUUAACGGUGGGCGUUGCCUCCUAAAG